AAUGCACACAAAACCCAAAGAUCAUUGUAUCUCACUGUGAUGAUCUUGUCUGUUGUGCAGAAAUUAACGGUACCUUGUCGCCUUUCUUGAGCUUGUAUGUUCUUGAAAGUGAAACAGAAGGAACUACAGUG